rnacentral:rRNA from 1 species
CAGUAGCCGCGGGAAUACGAAGGGUGCAAGCGUUACUCGGAAUUACUGGGCGUAAAGCGUGCGUAGGUGGUGGUUUAAGUCCGUUGUGAAAGCCCUGGGCUCAACCUGGGAAUUGCAGUGGAUACUGGGUCACUAGAGUGUGGUAGAGGAUAGUGGAAUUUCCGGUGUAGCAGUGAAAUGCGUAGAGAUCGGAAGGAACAUCUGUGGCGAAGGCGACUAUCUGGGCCAACACUGACACUGAGGCACGAAAGCGUGGGGAGCGAACAGGAUUAGAUACCCCAGUAGUCCCUGUCUCUUAUAC